UACGAAGGGGGCUAGCGUUGCUCGGAAUCACUGGGCGUAAAGGGUGCGCAGGCGGUUUUGUAAGUCAGAUGUGAAAUCCCCGGGCUUAACCUGGGAACUGCAUUUGUGACUGCAUGGCUAGAGUUUGGCAGAGGGGGGUAGAAUUCCACGUGUAGCAGUGAAAUGCGUAGAUAUGUGGAGGAACACCGAUGGCGAAGGCAGCCCCCUGGGUCAAGACUGACGCUCAUGCACGAAAGCGUGGGGAGCAAACAGG
rnacentral:rRNA from 1 species